CUCUCACACAAAGAUAGUUGAUCGUAGCAAGCGCCAGUUCAAUCAAAUGCAUUCAACAACAAUGCAUCAACUCCGAAAGACAGCACAAGCCACGCCAUCUACUAACCGUUCACACCACCAACAUCUCAUAAUCACUGCCAACUGAUCAUUCUACAACUUAAUCCCAUUUUCUAAAUGGCGUGCAUCCUAUUUCUCACAUCAGGAGCAUCCAGAGUCACUAAAAACUAACCUUCCAUGCUAACUAUAUUUAAAAAAAGAAAAAGGAAUGGGUGAAUUACAUGGUCCUAGUGCCCAACAUCUCCAAGGGUAUGAUAUAAAUAUACAGUUUCAGCAACAAGUUCAGCCACACUAUUGAGUGUACAUGGAAACUGCUUGUUGGUCGAAUUGUGUAAACCAACCAGAACUGCAGUGGAGGAGAUGGAACUUGUUAUUG
rnacentral:lncRNA from 1 species